rnacentral:siRNA from 1 species
UAUGAGUUGCAGCAUAUGCAGC